CAGAAAGACCCUAUGAAGCUUUACUGUAACUUGAAAUUGAAAUUGGACUUUAUUUGCGCAGUAUAGGUGGGAGGCAUAGAAAGAUCCUCGCGGGGAUUCUGGAGCCAUUAGUGAGAUACCACUCCUAUAAUGUUAGAUUUCUAACUUUUGCCAUUAUCUGGUAAAGGAACAGUUUCAGGCGGGCAGUUUGACUGGGGCGGUCGCCUCCCAAAUGGUAACGGAGGCGCACAAAGGUUUCCUCUGAACGGGUAGAAAUCGUAUCUAGAGUGUAAAGGCAAAAGGAAGCUUGACUGUGAGACUUACAAGUCGAGCAGGGACGAAAGUCGGUCUUAGUGAUCUGACGGUAUUAACUGAGUGGAAAGGCCGUCACUCAACGGAUAAAAGUUACUCUAGGGAUAACAGGCUGA
rnacentral:rRNA from 1 species